UACGGGGGGGGCAAGCGUUGUUCGGAAUUACUGGGCGUAAAGGGCUCGUAGGUGGCCAACUAAGUCGGACGUGAAAUCCCUCAGCUUAACUGGGGAACUGCGUCCGAUACUGGAUGGCUUGAGUUUGGGAGAGGGAUGCGGAAUUCCAGGUGUAGCGGUGAAAUGCGUAGAUAUCUGGAGGAACACCAAUAGCGAAGGCAGCUCGCUGGGACGGUACUGACGCUGAGGCGCGAAAGCGUGGGGAGCGAACAGG
rnacentral:rRNA from 1 species